GGAUUGUGGUUCAGUGGUAGGGUGCUUGCCUAGCACAUGCAAGGGCCUGGGUUCGAACCUCAGCACCA
rnacentral:tRNA from 1 species